rnacentral:SRP_RNA from 1 species
CAUCGGUCCCCCCGCAACGAUCAGCCGUGAACCCGGUCAGGCCUGGAAGGGAGCAGCCGCAGCGGUGACAUU